GAAUACAUUAAGGGAGCCACACCCCCGGCCUUUGCCCUCUAUUCCUCUGAGGUACCCAGGCGGAGUCCAUUUUCAUGUUUUUCUCGACAUGGUUGUCCACGUGAAGGGACAAGACAAGGAAGGAGCAAUCAGACAACAGCUGCAACAGUUCAUCGGUAGACUGAGGGGGUAAUAACAAAAGCCUCUGGUCUCCAGAACCAUCUGUGUCUCUCAGAGUAGAAGCCCAGGUUCAGUCAGGUUCUACUGAGUCUCCAUGUCCACUGAAGCCGCUGGACGCAAGAAAGUCCUGAUUGGUGCUUCCUGUCUCAGGAAGUGGGAUAGUUAUGUAGCUGACGCGGCGAUGACCUUCUAUCCAGAGAGAGGUACUGAGGGAUUUGCCAGAAAGACAUAUUUCGAUGGAACCAUCCAAGUUCCAGAGCAGCAUGUCGGUGCGAAACGUUUGAUCUCUAUAACGGAGAAGUUAAGGCUCCUUGUAAAUCAUGUCGUGAGUUGUUUGGUUUGACAGGAGGGGCAACAGAGGCAACAGUCCCCUAUGGCAACUGUGCCGAAGCUGAAAGUCUGAGCAACUUGUUUCAAGGUGAUGAAGCAGUUAGAGAUCAAGUACCACCACCACCUGGUGGUAACAGAGCGAGGGCUGAAGGAACCGUCAAUGAUACGCUUAGAUAUUUGGUGCGCUCCUUUAAGGCAUUUAAUAAAUGGACAGAUGGUUUCUACAUCCCACAGUAAACCAGAUCUUAAAAUAGAAAGACUGAAUCAGGGCGGGAUGAUGUUCUUUAGUCCUGAUUUCAUUCUUUCCCGAUGCAUGAGUGUGAUUUUCAUUUAUUGUGAUUCAAUAGGAGUAUUGGGAUUUUCUUUUCCUUCUUUAACAAAAACUAAAAUUUAAUAAAAUGCUUCUAGUGACAAUAUAUCAUCUGAUAUCAUCAUUCUCUUGCUUUGUAGAGAAGAACAUAACAUGGAUCUUCUGCUUUUCGCUUUUGUUCUUCCCACCCCUAGAUUGAAUAUAAAAUAUUGAUGAGUAGCCUUCAUACAGUCCCUUUUAUUACACAGUGAAGAUGAUUCUUCAUCAUAAAGCAGAGAUCAGUGUAGAACAGGUUACUGAGGUUGGAGGUCAUGUGAUCUCAGCUGUUAAUAUAUCCUGCUAAUGCUCCAGCUACUUACUACCAUAACAAUAAAGAUAUAAAUCCAUUCAUGGAAAAAUUGUAAACCAAAUGUGUCACCAACACAUCUCUUCCUACUGAACUCUGACUAACAAGAUGAUGAUAUUAAUAAUAAUCCUUCCAUGUGUCUCUGUGUGUGUCCUAUCUGAAGCUGAUGUUCUUCUCUCUGAUUCUGGCUGAGUUUUAUCUUCAUGGUUCAAGUCUUAUUAGAGUCCCUUCACAUCAAAUCAAAUGUGUCAACUGUUUGAGUAAAGCAUGCAGAAUAUAUAAACCAUUAAUAUAUCAUGUUGUUACAAUAAAAUGAUGGUGAUGAAAA